rnacentral:lncRNA from 1 species
CUGACUGAAAAUGACAAUAACGACUCUUCGUCAUCCUCCUCUUUCUCUGAGGCUGAUGUGGCAAAUGGGGUCUGGGUCAUUGCAACGGCUGUGGCAUGAUCCGCGCUGUCAUGACGUGGCUUCUGGUCUUCUGUGAGGACUUUGUGGUGACGUUUGUUGUGCUGCUGCCUUCCAAAGACUUCUGGUGCUCUGUGGUCAAUGGGGUCAUCUUAACCUCUUGGCGGCGUUUGCCUGUUGUCCUAGCUGGGAACCACGCUCACCGACCCCAGGGCGAUACCCAAAGGAAAGGCUACAAAAGAAUACACGGAGAGUGUGCAGCUGCAGCCCCGAGAAGUGAUCUACACCUGCUCCAAGUGCUGCUGUACCAAAAGGACGUGCCCACCACUUCUGUACUUGCAAAAGAUGUGUUUGCAAAACGGGUCACCAGAGCCUGUGGGUGAGCAGUUGUGCAGGAGGUAAGAAUCUGAGUUUUCUGUGCUCUUUCCUAUGUAGACAGUUCCGUCUUCAGCCCACGGUCUGAUUCUCUGUGGAUUUCAGUUUAUCUCCUGUGUCCGAGGACAGUGGACUGAAUGCAGUGAAUCCUUACCUGCAAUAAUUGUCAUCCUGCUGAUCUUCCUGUACCUUGAGGGUUGUCUGUUUUCACUUUCACUGCAGUUGUUUGGCCAUUGAAUCCACUCGAUAGGCAACAGACAAGACAGAGAUCCAGAGAUGGAAAAGUGAGAAGCCCAGGUGGGAGCAGAGGCUGCAAUUGGGAAAGGGUGAAGUCUGUUUUUCGGGGUCCCCUUAUUCCUUUGGAUGAAUCUCUUCUUCAGCUACUGAUAUAGGCAACUGCCGAUAAUGCCCUGGAAAGGAAGCCUGGGGUUCUCAGUGUG